UACGUAGGGUGCAAGCGUUGUCCGGAAUUAUUGGGCGUAAAGAGCUCGUAGGCGGUUCGUCGCGUCUGCCGUGAAAGUCCGGGGCUCAACUCCGGAUCUGCGGUGGGUACGGGCAGACUAGAGUGCAGUAGGGGAGACUGGAAUUCCUGGUGUAGCGGUGAAAUGCGCAGAUAUCAGGAGGAACACCGAUGGCGAAGGCAGGUCUCUGGGCUGUAACUGACGCUGAGGAGCGAAAGCAUGGGGAGCGAACAGG
rnacentral:rRNA from 1 species